GUAGGAGUUGAUAUGGAGGUCAUUGGAGGGGUACUUAUUGGCUUUGAUCUUUAUGAUUUACUCAGCCUGUUUUCUUAUAGAAUCUAGUACCAGGAGCAGCUUUACUGCCUCCAACCUGCUAUCAAUUACUAAUUAAGAAAAUCAUCUACUGCUUUGUAUACAGUCCCAUGUUAUGAAAGCAUUUCCUCAAUUGAGACAUUAAGAAACUAUGGAAACAAUUUACUGUUUUGUAUAUAGCCAUGCUUUAUGAAGUCAUUUUCUCAGUUGAGGUGACCUCUUCUCAGAUGACUUUACCUUGACAUAAGUUGAUGUAUAACUAAUAAGCAUGGUAUGAAGUUGAACUAGUAGUUGAUACGGGAAUUUCUAGUUUUUUUGAAUCAGAGUUGUUUCGAGGAUUUACUCUGCCUGUAGAACAUCUCUACAUCUAUGGAAUAAAAGCACGAGUAAGAAGGAUCACAAUCAUGUAUGGUCAACUCAGAGUGUAGGAGACACUGAUUUGGGAAUUAUUUAGUGUUCACAGAGAAAAAGACAAGCCAGUCAACUUCAAAACUUCAAAAGGCAAAGGACAACUAAACUUGCUGUAUUGGCUGAGUGAAAAAAGAGCCUUGAGUACUAAAGGACAAGUUUCUCUUAUGUGAGGAAGACAAUUUAGUUAUGAAACUCAGUAUUUGGGCUCUUUCCUUUAGAUCAUUACUCUAUGUUUAACAAAUGGUAUUUUUAUUGUAAAAUAAAAGCAUAAGUGUAUGCUUCUACACUGACCUUCUUUGUUUCCUUCUAUUCAUCUAACUUUAAGUCAAAGUUAUGUUUUCUGUCCAACACAACAUAGAGCAUUUAUUCAGCCUAAAGUCACCAGUUCCACUCUUAACAGUGAAAUAUUUUUACAUGUUUAAUUCUUUUUCUUUUUUUUUAAGGGAGUACCUUACCUGUAUUUAUCUGUUGAUAAUACCCACCAAAUGACCCAAAACUUAUCCUGCUGAAAGAAAGAGAAGAAUGGAGAAGAGACC
rnacentral:lncRNA from 1 species